rnacentral:rRNA from 1 species
UACGUAGGGGGCAAGCGUUGUCCGGAUUUAUUGGGCGUAAAGAGCGUGUAGGCGGUUUGGUAGGUCCGCUGUGAAAACUCGAGCUCAACCUCGAGACGCCGGUGGAAACCAUCAGACUAGAGUCCGGAAGAGGAGAGUGGAAUUCCUGGUGUAGCGGUGAAAUGCGCAGAUAUCAGGAGGAACACCGGUGGCGAAGGCGGGUCUC